CCUACGGGUGGCAGCAGUGAGGAAUAUUGGUCAAUGGGCGGGAGCCUGAACCAGCCAAGUCGCGUGAGGGACGACGGUCCUAUGGAUUGUAAACCUCUUUUGUCGGGGAACAAAGGCGCCCACGGGUGGGCGGAUGAGUGUACCCGAAGAAAAAGCAUCGGCUAACUCCGUGCCAGCAGCCGCGGUAAUACGGAGGAUCCGAGCGUUAUCCGGAUUUAUUGGGUUUAAAGGGUGCGUAGGCGGCCUUUUAAGUCAGCGGUGAAAGUCUGUGGCUCAACCAUAGAAUUGCCGUUGAAACUGGGAGGCUUGAGUAUGUUUGAGGCAGGCGGAAUGCGUGGUGUAGCGGUGAAAUGCUUAGAUAUCACGCAGAACCCCGAUUGCGAAGGCAGCCUGCCAAGCCAUGACUGACGCUGAUGCACGAAAGCGUGGGGAUCAAACAGGAUUAGAUACCCGAGUAGUC
rnacentral:rRNA from 1 species